GGGGCCGUAGCUCAGUCGGUUAGAGCAGCGUCCUUAUAAGACGUUGGUCCUGGGUUCAAGUCCCAGCGGCCCUA
rnacentral:tRNA from 1 species